UACAGAGGUCUCGAGCGUUGUUCGGAUUCAUUGGGCGUAAAGGGCGCGUAGGCGGCGGGGUAAGUCCGGUGUGAAAUCUCGGAGCUCAACUCCGAAAUUGCACUGGAUACUGCUCUGCUAGAGGGCUGGAGAGGAGAUCGGAAUUCACGGUGUAGCAGUGAAAUGCGUAGAUAUCGUGAGGAAGACCAGUGGCGAAGGCGGAUCUCUGGACAGCUCCUGACGCUGAGGCGCGAAGGCUAGGGGAGCAAACGGG
rnacentral:rRNA from 1 species